rnacentral:rRNA from 1 species
GAUGAACGCUGGCGGCGUGCCUAAUACAUGCAAGUCGAGCGAACAGAUGAGGAGCUUGCUCCUCUGACGUUAGCGGCGGACGGGUGAGUAACACGUGGAUAAUCUACCUAUAAGACUGGGAUAACUACGGGAAACCGGAGCUAAUACCGGAUAAUAUAUUGAACCGUAUGGUUCAUUAGUGAAAGACGGUUUUGCUGUCACUUAUAGAUGGUUCCGCGCCGCAUUAGCUAGUUGGUAAGGUAACGGCUUACCAAGGCAACGAUGCGUAGCCGACGUGAGAGGGUGAUCAGCCACACUGGAGCUGAGACAGCAUCCAUGCUCCUAGGGGACGGAGCAGUAGGGAAUCUUCCGCAAUGGGCGAGAGCCUGACGGAGCAACGCAGCGUGGGAGAUGGAAGUCUUCGGAUCGUAAAACUCUGUUAUUAGGGAAGAACAAGUGUGUAAGUAACGAUACACGUCUUGACGGUACCUAAUCAGAAAGCCACGGCUAACUACGUG